AUCCAGCUGACGAGUCCUAAAUGGGACGAAACGCACGUGCUUGAU
rnacentral:hammerhead_ribozyme from 1 species